GACAUGGGGUGCAAACGUUGCUCGGAAUUAUUGGGCGUAAAGCGCGCGUAGGCGGUUACUCAAGUCGGAUGUGAAAGCCCUCGGCUUAACUGAGGAAGUGCACCCGAAACUGAGUAGCUAGAGUACUAAAGAGGGUCGCGGAAUUCCCGGUGUAGAGGUGAAAUUCGUAGAUAUCGGGAGGAACACCGGUGGCGAAGGCGGCGACCUGGGUAGAUACUGACGCUGAGGCGCGAAAGCGUGGGGAGCAAACAGG
rnacentral:rRNA from 1 species